rnacentral:rRNA from 1 species
GAUGAACGCUGGCGGCGUGCCUAAUACAUGCAAGUCGAGCGAACGGACGAGAAGCUUGCUUCUCUGAUGUUAGCGGCGGACGGGUGAGUAACACGUGGAUAACCUACCUAUAAGACUGGGAUAACUUCGGGAAACCGGAGCUAAUACCGGAUAAUAUUUUGAACCGCAUGGUUCAAAAGUGAAAGACGGUCUUGCUGUCACUUAUAGAUGGAUCCGCGCUGCAUUAGCUAGUUGGUAAGGUAACGGCUUACCAAGGCAACGAUGCAUAGCCGACCUGAGAGGGUGAUCGCCCACACUGGAACUGAGACACGGUCCAGACUCCUACGGGAGGCAGCAGUAGGGAAUCUUCCGCAAUGGGCGAAAGCCUGACGGAGCAACGCCGCGUGAGUGAUGAAGGUCUUCGGAUCGUAAAACUCUGUUAUUAGGGAAGAACAUAUGUGUAAGUAACUGUGCACAUCUUGACGGUACCUAACCAGAAAGCCACGGCUAACUACGUG